GUCUCUGUGGCGCAAUCUGUUAGCGCGUUCGGCUGUUAACUGCAAGGUUGGUGGUUCAAGCCCACCCAGGGACG
rfam:Danio rerio chromosome 4, GRCz11 reference primary assembly.